rnacentral:lncRNA from 1 species
AUUAAACAAUAAUAAAUAAAUAUACAAUAUAAGAAAAGUAAAUAAAAAGUAAAUAUACAAUAUAAGAAAUAGAAAUAUUACAUUAAACAUUUAUCAUAAUUUAUCAUCUGAUAUAAAAGAAAGAAAAUUAGAAUACAUAAAUAUAUAAUUAAAAAAUGAAAAAAAACUAAAUUAAACAUCUAUCUGAAAAAUGUAUCUAUACUAAUAAAAUAGAGCUUUUGAAGCUCCAUAGAGCGUCCACAUCAGCGAAAAAAAAAACUUCUUCUAAAA